ACUCCCGCGCGCCCCUCUCGGGGACCAGGGCGGCCUCCCAGGAGGAGCUUGGUGGGACUUUGGAGAUACAUUUACUGAAAGGGGAGCACAACUGGAGCAGGUACAAAUGAAAAAACUUGGUAUUAUUUUGUUUUUGAACAACAGAGAAUUCCCUUUCAUGAAUCAGAUUUGGGUUAUGAAUCAAAAUCUGUAUCAGAUUUGGGUUACAAAGUAUCAUUUCUGUACAUUCUAUAUAAAGAGAAUAAAAUGAGAAUGAAGAUGCUUACCUUGCAGUGCUUCAGGGAGGAUUGGAAAUAAUUCAGUAAUGCCUGCAUAGAGCAGAAACACUGACAGCUGUCACUGUUGUUGUUGUUGUUACAACUUUUGUUUUCUCCUCCAGACUGUCCAUCCCUCCACUCCCAACCCUAGAUUACUUGUAACCUGUGCACUCUGACUUUGACUCGGCUCCUUAAUGUAGUCAGACCAUAUUUCUUCCUGAAACUUCCUCUAAUAUCUAGCUCUUCUUGGAGCCUUAGUGGUCUUGGAUCUGAAAACUGUCCUGUCAUCAUUAGUGGCUCAGGGCAUUAGAUUUUAAUUAGAACAAUAGCCUCUGCAAAAAUGUACAGUGAUUGGGCCCAGUUUGCUAAUGUGCCUUCAUCAGCAACACCAAAGUGACCUGCAAGGGAAAGUUGAAACAAAAAACAAACAUCUAGUAAAUAUAAUUUAUCAUUCCUUAUCUAGUCUAUUCCUUUGUUGGAAUAAGGCGUUUGUCAUCAUCAUCAUUAUAUUUGUAUGUUUGGAAUGCUGUCACAAAAUAGUAUAAACUGGGUGGCUUAAGCAACAUUAAUUUAUUUUCUCAUGGUUCCAAAGUGGCUUAAGCAACAUUAAUUUAUUUCCUCAUGGCACCUAAAGCAAGGUGCCAGCUGAUUUGGUUUCUCCUGUCCUGGCUUGCAGAUGACCACUUUCUUACUAUGUCCUCACGUUGCCUAUCCUCAGUGUGUGCAUGUGGAAGGAGAGAGAGCAGAAG
rnacentral:lncRNA from 10 species